rnacentral:tRNA from 2 species
GAGGCAUAGCUCAGUUUGGUUAGAGCGCUACCUUGACAUGGUAGAGGUCAUAGGUUCGAGUCCUAUUGUCUCC